AUUGAACGCUGGCGGCAGGCUUAACACAUGCAAGUCGAGCGGAGAGAGGUAGCUUGCUACUGAUCUUAGCGGCGGACGGGUGAGUAAUGCUUAGGAAUCUGCCUAUUAGUGGGGGACAACAUUUCGAAAGGAAUGCUAAUACCGCAUACGUCCUACGGGAGAAAGCAGGGGAUCUUCGGACCUUGCGCUAAUAGAUGAGCCUAAGUCGGAUUAGCUAGUUGGUGGGGUAACGGCCUACCAAGGUGACGAUCGGUAGCGGGUCUGAAGAGGAUGAUCCGCCACACUGGGACUGAGACACGGCCCAGACUCCUACGGGAGGCAGCAGUGGGGAAUAUUGGCCAAUGGGCGCAAGCCUGAUCCAGCCAUGCCGCGUGUGUGAAGAAGGCCUUAUGGUUGUAAAGCACUUUCAGCGAGGAGGAAGCGUUGUGUGUUAAUAGUACACAGCGUUGACGUUACCUACAGAAGAAGCACCGGCUAACUCUGUGCCAGCCGCCGCCGUAACAC
rnacentral:rRNA from 1 species